GUGGGCAUAGCUCACUAGUAGAGUGUUUACCUAGCACGCAUGAGGUCCUGGGUUCAAUCCCCAGUACCACCA
rnacentral:tRNA from 1 species